CCUACGGGAGGCAGCAGUGGGGAAUAUUGCGCAAUGGGCGAAAGCCUGACGCAGCGACGCCGCGUGAGGGAUGAAGGCCUUCGGGUUGUAAACCUCUUUCAGCAGGGACGAAAACAGACGGUACCUGCAGAAGAAGCACCGGCCAACUACGUGCCAGCAGCCGCGGUAAUACGUAGGGUGCAAGCGUUGUCCGGAAUUAUUGGGCGUAAAGAGCUCGUAGGCGGUUUGUCGCGUCGGCUGUGAAAACUCGGGGCUCAACCCCGAGCCUGCAGUCGAUACGGGCAGACUAGAGUGCGGUAGGGGAGACUGGAAUUCCUGGUGUAGCGGUGAAAUGCGCAGAUAUCAGGAGGAACACCGGUGGCGAAGGCGGGUCUCUGGGCCGUAACUGACGCUGAGGAGCGAAAGCGUGGGGAGCAAACAGGAUUAGAUACCCUGGUAGUCCACGCCGUAAACGGUGGGUGCUAGGUGUAGGCGGUAUUCCACGCCGUCUGUGCCGCAGCUAACGCAUUAAGCACCCCGCCUGGGGAGUACGGCCGCAAGGCUAAAACUUAAAUGAAUUGACGA
rnacentral:rRNA from 1 species